UUCUUCAUUCUUUUUCAUGAAUUUAACUUUUAUAAACUUCAGGUGUUUUUCUUUUAAUUUCCCUAAGUGCAUGUAGCAAAGAGAGUGCAAUAUUUGCUUUUUUUCUAUAUGCUUUAACUCUUGAUAUACUUUAUUUAUGCUAUAAUAGAAAUGUGUGUCUUCCCAAAAUUUAUAUGUUGAAAUCUUAAACCUCAAGGUGAUGGUAUUAAAAGGUUGGGGCUUUUUGGAAAGUGAUUAACCCAUAAUGGUGCCAUCCUUCAUGAAUGGGAUUAGUGUUCUCAUAAAAGAAACAGAAGGAAGUGUGUUUUCCUCUUCUGCCAUGUGAGGAUACCACGAAAAGAUACUAUCUGGGAAGCAAAUAAUUCUCUCCAGACACUGAAUCCGCUGGCACCUUGAUCUUGGACUUCCCGACCUCCAGAAUUAUGAGAAAUAAAUUUCUGUUGUUUAUAAAUCA
rnacentral:lncRNA from 10 species